GUAAGAACAACUGGUGAGAUGAGAUGACCAAAUUCUGCGAGUGUGGGGACACCCUACACUUCUCCCCCGCACCCACUGCUAAGAUGCUCAGACUUCUGCAGGAAUAUGUUCAUAGUCACUCUUGGACUUUUGAUGAGAUCAAAAGGAACUGGCGUGUUUCCUCUUCUCAGAUCAGCCAAACAGUAUACCUGCUUGUAUGUUUCAAGUUGGAUAUAUAUUCAAGCUUUGUGAAGGAGAAGAAUGUGCAUGUUGAGGAAGAAAAAGUCAGACGGACAUGGAGAGAAACAUACAAUAUUGGGGAGCAAUCCAGGAGGAGUGCAGUGUGUUAAACAAGACUCUUUCGAUGGCUGAGUUUUGUUGUUAGGGCAGAUGAGUAUUUAAUAAGAAGGUAUUUUUUUGAAGAAGAGUGUUUUCUACUUUUCCAUUUCUACACUUUAUAAGAUAAAGCUUUUGCUAUUAAGAAAAGCAUAACAUCAAAAUAAAAACAAGAGUUAAUAUGUAAUUUUAAAAGCUGUAUUUGCAGAGAUUUUUUUUUGAGCUAUGUAUUAUUUCAUCAUACUAGUGGAGACAAACCAAAUUUCAUUAAUGUGGUGGAAUCUUUUUAUUUAUAAAUAUUAUCCUAUCUUGUCCCAGAAAGGACUGGAGUGGCAGCAUUUGAUUAUUUCAUUGGAAUAAUAGCUUAUCACAAUCAAGAAAAAGUUUUUGUUAAAUGUUUAUCUUGUUUCUCGUGAUGCCAAGUGAAAAGAAAUUAUGAAUUUCACAGAAACUUUUACAUUUCAAAAGUUUGUAAUUCUUCUAAAGAG
rnacentral:lncRNA from 1 species